GUAGGGAAUAUUGCACAAUGGGCGAAAGCCUGAUGCAGCGACGCCGCGUGAGUGAUGAAGGCCUUCGGGUCGUAAAGCUCUGUUGUACGGGAAGAAAUGCGGAUGGCUAAUAUCCAUCCGAGUUGACGGUACCGUAUCAGAAAGGACCGGCUAACUUCGUGCCAGCAGCCGCGGUAAGACGAGGGGUCCUAGCGUUGUUCGGAAUCACUGGGCGUAAAGCGUAUGUAGGCGGGCUUUUAAGUCGGGUGUGAAAUCCCACGGCUCAACCGUGGAAUUGCAUUCGAAACUGAAAGUCUUGAGUGUGGGAGAGAUUGGUAGAAUACCUGGUGUAGUGGUGAAAUACGUAGAUAUCAGGUGGAAUACCGGUGGCGAAGGCGGCCAAUUGGCCCAACACUGACGCUGAGAUACGAAAGCGUGGGGAUCAAACAGGAUUAGAUACCCGGGUAGUCC
rnacentral:rRNA from 1 species